UCAGUAUGGAACUGUCGUUUGGUCGUCUCAAUGAUCCCAGGUUCAUAGCCUGCCCACUGCGACCCCCCUGUCAUCCCAGGGGAGGUUAGUCAUGUAAAACAUUUUCCAAACAAAAGACCCAACUAAAGGUAAAUUAUUAGACAAAGUAAGUUCAUACUUGUGAGGUCCAAUAAUUAUUACAAGGGUAUUGCAUGGCCAGCACAGUGACCAACUGGAAUUACUUUCACCAAGAAAUACUGUGUCACAACCUUUAACUUCUAAGCAAUUUGACCA